rnacentral:rRNA from 1 species
GACGAACGCUGGCGGCGUGCCUAACACAUGCAAGUUGAGCGACGAACCAGGGCUUGCCCUGGGGCAAAGCAGCGAACGGGUGAGUAACACGUGGGUAACCUGCCCCGAUGAUCGGGACAACCCGAGGAAACUCGGGCUAAUACCGAAUGUGCUCGCCGGACACCAGUCCGGCGCUUAAUGGAAGCUUCGGCCUCCGCAUCGGGCGGGGCACGCGGCCCAUUAGCUUGUUGGUGAGGUAACGGCUCACCAAGGCAACGAUGGGUGGCUGGUCUGAGAGGACGAUCAGCCACACUGGGACUGAGACACGGCCCAGACUCCUACGGGAGGCAGCAGUGGGGAAUCUUGCGCAAUGCGCGAAAGCGUGACGCAGCAACGCCGCGUGGGGGAAGAAGGCCUUCGGGUUGUAAACCCCUUUCAGGAGGGACGAAGGUUCGGCGGUGAAUAGCCGUCCGGACUGACGGUACCUCCACAAGAAGCCCCGGCUAACUACGUGCCAGCCGCCGCCGUAAAAC